UACGUAGGGUGCGAGCGUUGUCCGGAAUUAUUGGGCGUAAAGAGCUCGUAGGCGGUUUGUUGCGUCUAUCGUGAAAACCUGCAGCUUAACUGUGGGCUUGCGGUCGAUACGGGCAUCACUGGAGUUCGGCAGGGGAGACUGGAAUUCCUGGUGUAGCGGUGAAAUGCGCAGAUAUCAGGAGGAACACCGGUGGCGAAGGCGGGUCUCUGGGCCGAUACUGACGCUGAGGAGCGAAAGCGUGGGGAGCGAACAGG
rnacentral:rRNA from 1 species